rnacentral:lncRNA from 1 species
GCUCCCUGUGUUUUUUCCUUCCUUCUUUUGAAACAAAAAUUAGGAAUUUCUUGAGGAUUACAGACUUCGGAGACAAGGGAGCAACAUGGACGUUUGCAGAUGAUUAUUUCCGGUACGGAGACAUCAGUGAUGUCGAGACAUCUCCACGGGCUGUUCAUCAGGCACGGUUGCAUGUUGCUACUUCACUGCUUCAGUGUAAAGGGAAUGCAGAGGACUUCUGUGUGUGCUCCUUUGCCGAAGAAAAUGCAGAUGAGUGCAUGAUUGAAAAGGUAAAGUAUAACGUAAAAUAUGUGCUUUGUAUUAUUAAUUGACUCAAAAAUGUGUUUGCAUAAUACCAUACAAUGUA